rnacentral:misc_RNA from 1 species
GAGCUAUGGUGACCUUGAAGCUCAGGCUGUUGAGAAGCUGCUUUUGUUGAGUUCAGUUAUUCCUGUUUGUGGUUCAGAUGUUCAUGAUUUGCCAAGUCCUACCCCUAUUUCAAACAGCGAAGAUCAAGGUGCGCAUGCAGCUGAAAAUAAAGAAUCUGGUCCAUCAGAUCUUCCUGACAGUGAAGCUCGAGGUGGGCAUGCAGGUGAAAAUAAAGAAUCUGGUCUGUCCAGUCUUCCUAUUCAGGAAUCAGGCCAAAGGUGGAGUAGUGCUUCUAGUCCAGUGGUUGGUGGGCCCCAGCUUCAUGAAAUAGCUGAUGAAUGGGGUAGAAGUUCGCCAGCUGCAAAACCAUCUACUGAAGAAUGGGAUUCUACUCUUGUUUCUGUUUCCUCACUGAAAUCGGUUGACACUGUGAGUGAUCGUGUUGCCACACCAUCUUCAAUUGCCAACCUGCUUACUGCAAAACCAUCUAUUGAAGAAUGGGAUUCUGGUCUUGUCUCCGUUUCCUCACUGAAACCAGCUGAAGCAGUGGGUGAUCAUGUCGACACACCUACAUCAGAUGCCAACCAACACCCUGAUAAUUCUUCAUCUAAUCCAAUCUCAAACUUCUCCGAUUGGCGAGCAAUCUUUGGUGAACCAAUAGAGUUCAGCACUUUGGAUGAGGAAUCCGUGUCAGACCUAUUAGCUGAAGUUGAUGCAAUGGAAUCUCAAACUCAAAGUGGUAUGGGUUCACCAACCUCCGCCAUGGCGUUCUGUGAGGAGACAAUAGCUGGAUGUAGAGGGGACUUUUUCAGCUUUUUGGAGGAGCUUAGUCCAACGCCUGACCCUGCAAAAAAUGAUGCCUUGAGCUCCACUGAAGAUAUACAAUUACCUUGUCAAUCCUCUCUGACAAACGAACUAGCGAGGACAUUACAUGCUGAAGCUUUUGAUCCUUUUAAGAGGUCUAGCAGGACUUCGUCUACUAGCAGUGAGGGAGAAACAAAGUCAGCUGAUAUUUCCUUUUCCCAGGGGGACACUGGGUUCAAUAUACCUACACCCUGCACCACGGGGAAAACUGCAGUUUCAGUCAUCAGCCAGAGUACUGAACUGGAAGCUAUAACCACCGACUGUUGUGCAGCACCUGGAAACAUGACAUACUGUGGACCAGUUCAGGGAUUCACAAAUGUUAAUCAAGGUAGCAGCAUGGGGACUGCAUGCGGUUAUUCAAACACGAAUGAUUCCCCUUUCACCGGGAAUACAUUGUCUGAAAGCCAGUGUAUAUACUCGGGGGAGAGGUCUGGUGGUCCAAGAGACUGGGUUAUUCCAGUAGGGGAUUUGGGAUUUGAAAGGGAUAGGUAAUUGUGGUGCAGACAGUCGUUUGGUGGCAAGGGAUACUCUUAACCUCCCCAAAAAUGACAAAUGUGUUGGCAAAUUUUAUGAGAGCGGACUUUGCAAGAAGGGGGAAUCAUGCGACUAUUUGCACCUUUGAGAAGGUAUGAACUUAAAGGUGAAAUCAAACAAUCAUUUUUUAGUAGGAUGAUCAAGAUGUAGCUAAAAUAUUAGUAUGAUUUUUUAGCUGAUCAAAUUUCAGUUAAAAAAGGCAGGAUACGAAAAGAACCCCACUGAGUUCCAUAAUGUUAACCAGGUAGAAACUAGUACACACUAAAGCAGACAAAAAUAGUUGUAUCAUUCUUGUAUUUGAUCCUGCAAUUGUUGCUCUAUGUACAAACUACAGCAGUGAAUUGAUGAAUUUGUAUGUAUACAUCAGAGAUUUUCUCUUUCGAGAUUGAUUAGUUUUCACUUUCAAUCUUGUUGGCAAU